GACGAACCGUGCGAACGUUAUUCGGAAUCACUGGGCUUAAAGCGCGUGUAGGCGGGGCGGCACGUCCGUCGCUGAAAUCCCCCGGCUCAACCGGGGAACUGGCGGGGAUACGACCGUCCUGGAGGGACGUAGGGGGACCUGGAACUUCCGGUGGAGCGGUGAAAUGCGUUGAGAUCGGAAGGAACGCCCGUGGCGAAAGCGGGUCUCUGGGCCGAUAUUGACGCUGAGGAGCGAAAGCGUGGGGAGCAAACAGG
rnacentral:rRNA from 1 species